UAUAUAUAUAUAUAUAUAUAUAUAUAUAUAUAUAUGUAUUUUUUGAAGCCACUAGAAACUAAAUACAUCACUUUUUUGCAUCACUGGUCACAUUUCUUACUCUGAAAUUAAAAGGGACGUGCUAGUAUUUUAUGAAGUAAUUUGACUCCAACUAAACCUUUCUCACCAUAUUUUUAUCUUGUACAUUCACUUUUUCCAGACAUGCUCAAAUUGUCAUAAAUGAUUUCUAUUAGAGUUAAGGAUUUCAGUCAUCUGAGAAGAUGCAGUGCAGUGAGAUUCUGCCUCUGAAUUGGUAACAGUUAAUUCUUUUUCUAUUGCAAAGUAGAUUCUUACAGAAAGGAAUUUAUGCCUUCAUUUUCUAUGUAGGUUGCAUGGCAUUUGGUCCACAGUGACAAAAAAAAUGAUCCCAGAAUAUCUGCAGUAUAUUUUGCUGAAUGUUAACAGCAGGUUCAGAUGUGUUUCACUUCUGACCUUGUAAAAUGCUUUCUUGCUUAUGCAACGCUUUCUACAUCAAAUACAAAAACUGCUACGAGGGCUUCAGCUGCUUGAACAAGGAUAAAUAUGAGAAAAUAAAUAAAUGUUGUUCAGGACUCAACCACAGCAAUAUGUAAGAAGAACACACACCAAACAUUCCUGAAGUGAUUUAAAAGCAAAACUAAAACACUGUCUCAGGAAAAAGAGGAAUUCUGAAAAUAAAAUAUGGUAUAUUAGAUAAAUGAUUACAAGAACAGGUAAGAUUUCAAAAUUAUACCCCAUUCUUUUAUCCAAGAAGUAUUUUCCCUUUUUCACAUUUGUAUGAUAUACUAAAUAAGAUUUUAUUUGGGACAAAUCUUUGUUCACUAGGAAGUAGACCUAAAUAGUUGAAUGUCUCCAUAAUUAAAACUGAUAUUCAAAAAUUAGAAACCGGUCAUGGUGGCUCACCCUGUAAUCCCAGCACUUUAGGAGGCCAAGGCGGGAGGACCAUUUGAAGUCAGGAGUUGGAGACCAACCUGGCCAACAUGGUGAAACCCUGCCUCUACCAAAAAUACGAAAGAAUGAGCCGGGCGUGGUGGUGUGCGGCUAUAAUCCCAGCUAUUUGGGAGGCAGAGGCAUGAGAACUGCUUGAACCUAGGAGGUGGAGGUUGCAGUGAACCAAGACUCUGCCACUGCACUCCAGCCUGGGUGACAGAGUGAGACCCUGUAUCCAAAGGAAAAAAAAUUAAAGGAUAAAAACUAUUUUAUUAGAAAACUAAGAAA
rnacentral:lncRNA from 1 species